GGCCUAACACAUGCAAGUCGAGCGGUAACAGGACUAGCUUGCUAGUUGCUGACGAGCGGCGGACGGGUGCGUAACACGUAGGAAUCUGCCCGGUAGUGGGGGAUAGCCCGGAGAAAUCCGGAUUAAUACCGCAUACGCCUUACGAGGGAAAGAAGGGGCCUCUUCGGAGCCUUUCGCUAUCGGAUGAGCCUGCGUCGGAUUAGCUAGUUGGUGGGGUAAAGGCCUACCAAGGCGACGAUCCGUAGCUGGUCUGAGAGGAUGAUCAGCCACACUGGGACUGAGACACGGCCCAGACUCCUACGGGAGGCAGCAGUGGGGAAUAUUGCACAAUGGGGGAAACCCUGAUGCAGCCAUGCCGCGUGUGUGAAGAAGGCUCUAGGGUUGUAAAGCACUUUCAGCGAGGAGGAAAGGUUGCUGGUNAAUACCCAGCGGCUGUGACGUUACUCGCAGAAGAAGCACCGGCUAACUCCGUGCCAGCAGCCGCGGUAAUACGGAGGGUGCGAGC
rnacentral:rRNA from 1 species